CCCUUAGAUGUCCUGGGCCGCACGCGCGCUACACUGAGUGUCUGAGAUACGAGUCUGCCUGGUCCGGCAAGGUCUAGGUAAUCGCUAAAAGACACAUCAUGCUUGGGAUAGAUUAUUGCAAAUAUUAAUCUUGAACGAGGAAUUCCUAGUAAGCGCAAGUCAACAGCUUGCGUUGAUACGUCCCUGCCCUUUGUACACACCGCCCGUCGCUACUACUGAUUGGAUGUUUAAGCGAGGUUCUCGAACUGCUAGCGACUUAGCUUCGGUGAGGUCGCAGUGUGGGAAGUGAACCUAGCUUUGGUGUCUAGAGGAAGUAAAAGUCGUAACA
rnacentral:rRNA from 1 species